UACGGAGGGGACUAGCGUUGUUCGGAAUUACUGGGCGUAAAGCGCACGUAGGCGGAUUUGUAAGUCAGGGGUGAAAUCCCGGGGCUCAACCUCGGAACUGCCUUUGAUACUGCAAAUCUCGAGUCCGGAAGAGGUGAGUGGAAUUCCCAGUGUAGAGGUGAAAUUCGUAGAUAUUGGGAAGAACACCAGUGGCGAAGGCGGCUCACUGGCCCGUACUGACGCUGAGGUGCGAAAGCGUGGGGAGCAAACAGGG
rnacentral:rRNA from 1 species